rnacentral:lncRNA from 1 species
CCAAGAGGGCACACUACACAGAUGGGAAAAGUGGACCAAAACAGAGAUGGAACUUCUACUGGCUCAGCCCCUGUGACUCAACAGUCAUGGCUACACUUUGGGGGAAGGAGUAUUAGGGUCAUUCUGCACCUUCCCCAUAAGCCCCCUAAUGACACAACAAUCCUUGCUCUUUGAGACUCAAGAGACUUUUUCUUAGGAUUCAGAAACAAAAUUGAGUGGAAGUGUGUGGGGAGGUAUGUGGGAAGGAGGAGGUUUUAUAAGAUUUACAGGCAAAAUGGUCAUCUGAUCCACCCCCAGCCCUGUUUGAGAAAUGAGGACAGAGGCUCAAAGUCGAUGAGUAACCAGCCCCAAAAUCCCAUGCCAGAGACAGAAUUUGGAAUCUCCUAACUCGUCACCUAGGGAGGAGCAGAGUCAGGCAUCCUUGCACUUUUGUUUAAGGGUUUGGGUUUGAGGCCAAGGACAAGAAGGGUUCCUGUGGACUAUUGGUUAGUACACUGUUGUCCCAGAUGGAGCCAGGGUCUUUGGAGGCUGAGGUGGGGAAAGACUCAGUGGAUCUAACCCCACAGGUGAAGAAAGAACUUUUGGCCUCUUGCACUACCCAACAGGCUCAGGCAAGGCCUUAUGGAGGAGACAAGCCCCAGAGGUGAGGGCUGGGGAUUUGAUGUAUGGGAGUGGAGCGGGGGGAAGGGAGAGUAGGCUUCAGAAAGAUGGGGAGGGACUUUGCUUCCCCAGAUUCCUGUCCUAGAGUGGGAAGACUAGCAGUAUUUGGGGGCUGACUGAUGGUGGACCCCGGGACUAAAAAAAAUCUAUUUGGAGGUGUAGUAGGGGAUAGGAGGGGGGUGAAAAUGGAAAAGCAUUCACUUACAGUAAGGGUGUACUUGGGUAUCAGGAUUGAUGGCCCUCUUGCCAAUAGGAGACGAGACCUCUCUAGCCUCUUUUCACCAGUGGACAUCCCUGCCGAGUAUGAGCAUCCUCUGACCGCUAGGCAGGUGGCAGCCUUCCAGGAUGUCUUCCAACUGUUUAAACCGGGCUCCCAGGGCAAGCUGGACAUGAGGAGCAUGAAGGGGGCACUACCGACUGUUGGCAUCCAGCUGAGCCCCCAGGAAGUGUGUGAGGCCCUGCGGCGGGCUGACCUGGAUGGUACGUCUGCCCACAGGGCUCUACACAAAAUCCAGCCCCCAGAGUCCGGUCUCCCAUUAUACUCUCACCUUAACUUUUUCUUCCCUUCCCCUCGCCCACUAAAUUAAUCCUUCCCUGCUUUCAGGUGUUCCUGCGGAAAACUUUUCCUAAGUAUCCCUGUCCUCCCCCACUGUCAUCUUAUCUUUCUUCUAUUACCCCCACAAACUUGUAGGCCACAGAAGGGUGUAGUAAUAGGUGCUUACACGCUUAUUGAUUGAUUUCACUCAAUGAACUAUGGCAUAGGAAAUGUUACAUUUUACUGUUGCUUUAUGCCUGGAGGCUGUUGUUUGGUCCCUGGGUGGGGACCCUGAGCCUCCCUUCCGAGGAUGGAUGAUCCCCCUCCCUUUCCCUUCCCCUCCCCAGGGGCAAUACGGCAUUUCUGUUUUAGUGUGAUUCUCUCAGAGCCUAGUACAAACCCAUACCCUGGGUGUACCAACUCUUUCCCUGCUCCAAACAUACACACACUCCUGAGCAAACACAGGUACAUGAUUUCUCUUCUUCUAAGGUGAUGGAGCUGUUGACUUUGAGGACUUCCUUGGGAUCCUGACAGACAAUCAUCGCUUUGCCCAAUGCAUGGGUGAGGAAGCAUUUUUUUUAUGGGUCGUGGGGUCCAGGAAAGGAAAAACUAAAACUUGCCACACUCCCAAAUACUUAAAAAAAGCAAACCUCACUAGUCCCUAAAAAUAUUGUCCUGUAUUUCUGUCUGUCACAGCUCGACUCCUAGAAAGAGCUGCCUACAACUCCAUACCUCCACUUUCUCUCCUCACUUGUAGUCACCUGGCCUCUGAGCUCACUCAGCCAAAGCAGCUGUCUCUCCAAGAGGACUCUAGUGAUCCCCUUAAUUGCCAAAUCUGAUGGAUUUUUCUGAGUCUUCAGUUUCUUCCGAAUUUUGACCCUGUUGACCAUCCUCUCUGCCUGAAUCCCCUUUCUCCUUUGGAUUUUUUGUGACCAGUCUCUUUGGUUCUCUUCCCACCUGUGACAACUCCUCAGUCUCCUUCACUGGAUCUUCUGUAUCCUCCCCACGAAUCCAGAGUGUUCUUUGGGGCUCUGUCCUGGACCAUCCUCUCUCUUCUGCUUGCUUCUCUCCCUAUGCCUUUCCCUCCUCUCUCUGUCUCUGUUCCUGUCUCUAGCUCUAUUUCCUCUCCCAUUGGGUUUAAUUAUUACUUCCAAAUCUAUAUAUCCACCCCUAGUCAUUCUCUGGAGCUCCAGUCCCAUAUUUCCAACUGCCUAUGGGUCCCACAGGCAUCUCAAACUCAACAUGUCCAAAACUCCCCAUCCCUUCCCCACACCCCUACUUUUGUUGAGAGCACCACCCCCCAUGUUUAGACACUUCAUAGUCAUCCUAGACUCCUCCUUCUCCCUCCCCCCACAUAUCUACCCGGUUGGCACAACCAUCAGCAGAGCAUCUCUCAAAUCCAUCCCCUUUCUCUCACCACUCACCUGGUCAUCACUGUGUAGUUCAUGCCUUUAUCAACUCUUGCCUAAAAGAUUCGAAUGUAAUUUCCCUGCCUCAAGUCUCUCCCCUUGCCGAUCCAUCCUCCAUAAAACUGCCCAAGUGAUGCUCCUAAGACACCCAUUUGAUCAUGUCACUUCCCUGCUGAAAGAGCUAUGAGUUUCCUGUUACCUCUGGAUUCAAGUAGAAAACACCUGUUACAGCCUUUCAACCUUUCAGACUGGGGUUCAGCUGAAGAAGCUUUCUUGCUGCUGUUCAUAUAAUAUUCUAUCUCUUACCUUUUCACAUGCUCUCUCUCCUACCCCCACAACUCCUCCAUGCUUAAAAUACACUCCUUUACCUCCAUCUCUUAGAAUAAACUUAUUUCCAUCAUAACUCA